CACUCGGUUGCAGAAAUCAAGCCACUCUAAUGCAGUUCAGACUGGCAGCUUUGAUCCAGGCAGACAGAAGACUUAAUAAAAGCACUGAUGUGGCAAAGUUCUGGCUGGCAGGUUGGGCCCUGUAGGAAUUCCACUUGGGACUCAGCCUUUCAAAUUAUGUCAGGAAGUGAGGAUGAGCCAUUAAUAACAGACACAGUCUUUGGGGUAUUUCAUAGAAUACCAGAUUGGAAGAGGACCUCAAGGAUCAUCUGGUCCAACCUUUUUUGGCAAAAGCAUGGUCUAGACAAGAUUGCCCAGCAUCCCGUCCAA